rnacentral:rRNA from 1 species
GAGAAACCCAAAAGAUCGAAUGGGGAGAUUCAUCGUCAGCUUAUUUUGUAUAUAUGCAAAUUGUGAUAUGGGUUACUAUUUUAUAUAGUAUUGCCUGUACAUUUUUGUAUAUUUAUUUGCAAAAUCUUGUCGGCGUGCACUUCUCCUCUAGUAGAACGUCGCGACCCGUUGAGUGUUGAUCUUACGGUCCAAGUGGUAAGCUUUUUAUGAAUUUAUUUCAUUAGAAAACCCUUGGUGUAUCCUGAUUGGCAUUCGUCGGUAAUCUAAUAUGGUAUUAAGCCGCAUAAUAUUUAUAUGCGUCCAUAUCUGUCACAAGCGAGAUUAGUUACUAAUAGUGCGGACUCUAGUGCCGUCAUUGGUAUUAAUCAGCUGUUGGUUGUACGGAAUUCUAGGACUGGCUUAUUUAUUUUAUUUUUAUAAAAUAAUAUAUAUACCGGUCAGCGAUGCUACUGCUUUGGGUACUUUCAGGACCCGUCUUGAAACACGGACCAAGGAGUCUAACAUGUACGCAAGUCAUUGGGAUUUUUAUAAAUUAAACCUAAAGGCAUAAUGAAAGUAAAGGUUGGCCUUGUGUUAACUAAGGGAGGAUAGGCUAUAUUUACGAGAUAGCUUCGCACUCCCGGGGCGUCUCAUUCUCAUUGUGAGAAGAGGCGCACCUAGAGCGUACACGUUGG